UGGGGCCCUGCUCUCCUGGAGAUGGCUGAACACCUGCCUGACCAUGGGAAGUAGUGAAUUAAUUCCUUCUUUUUCUUUGCUUCCAUGCACAGCUUUUGCUUUCUCUAUUAAGCUGCCUUGGUCUCAUACCAGAAGUUUCUAAGCUUUUACACCUCCAGUUCUCACUGUAAUCUCAUUGUUGGGGGAGAGAUCGAGCAGCUGCAUGGGGCUUGGUUGCUGGUUGUGGUUAAACACAAGAGUCACACAGCUGACACAGGAAGCAUAAGUGGCUGUUCCUCUGCCAUCUCAUGUAGAGAAAAUACCUGAAUGGGCAGUUCCCAUAUUCCAUCUAGUUGCCAGAGCCAUCUAGAUACUGGCAUUUUUCAUGGGUAAAAAACCUCAACCCCUAUGGUUUUAUGGAGAAAUACUCCAUAGGAGUUCACUGUCCCUUCCAUAGGAGGGGAAUGGAUACCCCCCAAACAAAAAAGCUUGUCAUUUAUGAACUUAAACUAUCUUAAUUAAAUCUAACAUAGCUACAGAUUUUACUCUGAUAAGUGGUGCUGGCAUCAAGUAAGGGAAAGAGGAGAGCAAACGAAGGCAGGUUACUUGUGUUAGAGACAGUCGGAGGAUUUAGGCAAACUCUAAGCUGAGAGGUCAUUUAGCAAGGCAACAAUUCUAUCUGCUGCAUCCAGCAGGCACAGAAUUUAACCAUUCUCUAACUAGCUUUCUCCAUUUACUACAUUUGAUGUCAAGAAACGUUAACUAAAAGUGGCUUUGAGCUAGCUACAGAACCUGCUUAAAAUGUUGAAUAUUCAGAAAAACUUAAUACCUCAAAACAAAUUCCCAUGAUGCUAUCUUAAAGAAGAAAACAAUUUUUGUAUUUUCCUUUUUUUCUUUUGAAGAUGAAUUUCAUCCCUGAAUAUCUUGGAAAUGUCCAACCAGGGAAGGAAAACUAGAGCCAUACGUUCUCCCUAAAUUCAUUCCAGUUGCACAGGCGAAAUCCCAGUUCCACAAGACAUUGUAAUGGAUUGUGUCCAGAAGUCCUUCUGAGCACAGUGCUCACAUAAGGACCACUGGAGGGACCACUAGUUAAAAGGAUUUACUUUUAAAUUAUCUGACCAUUCUGGAACACACGUGAAUCAAGAAACAUGGACAGGAGUGGGUAUUUCUCAGACAGUGCACUUCGGAUCCCCUUUUGCUCAGACCAGACCUCAAAGGCCACAAUCUGAUCUUGUUUUUCAGUUUGUUAAAGAAAUCCAUAAACCCACAGAUGUUAGAAAGUUUAUUUUCCUGCAUUCUGGCAAACUAAAAUAAAUGAAAACCCAAAACCCUA